rnacentral:rRNA from 1 species
GAUGAACGCUGGCGGCGUGCCUAAUACAUGCAAGUCGAGCGAACAGAUGAGGAGCUUGCUCCUCUGACGUUAGCGGCGGACGGGUGAGUAACACGUGGAUAACCUACCUAUAAGACUGGGAUAACUUCGGGAAACCGGAGCUACUACCGGAUAAUAUAUUGAACCGCAUGGUUCAAUAGUGGAAGACGGUUUUGCUGUCACUUAUAGAUGGAUCCGCGCCGCAUUAGCUAGUUGGUAAGGUAACGGCUUACCAAGGCAACGAUGCGUAGCCGACCUGAGAGGGUGAUCGGCCAGACUGGAACUGAGACACGGUCCAGACUCCUACGGGAGGCAGCAGUAGGGAAUCUUCCGCAAUGGGCGAAAGCCUGACGGAGCAACGCCGCGUGAGUGAUGAAGGUCUUCGGAUCGUAAAACUCUGUUAUUAGGGAAGAACAAAUGUGUAAGUAACUAUGCACGUCUUGACGGCACCUAAUCAGAAAGCCACGGCUAACUACGUG